rnacentral:rRNA from 1 species
UACGUAGGGUGCGAGCGUUGUCCGGAAUUAUUGGGCGUAAAGAGCUCGUAGGCGGUCUGUCGCGUCGGUCGUGAAAACUUGGGGCUUAACCCUGAGCUUGCGGUCGAUACGGGCAUGACUGGAGUUCGGUAGGGGAGACUGGAAUUCCUGGUGUAGCGGUGAAAUGCGCAGAUAUUGGGAGGAACACCUGUGGCGAAAGCGGCGCACUGGACCAUAACUGACGCUGAGGCGCGAAAGCUAGGGGAGCAAACAGG